UACAGAGGGGGCAAGCGUUGUUCGGAAUUACUGGGCGUAAAGGGCUCGUAGGUGGCCAACUAAGUCGGACGUGAAAUCCCCAGGCUCAACUUGGGAACUGCGUCCGAUACUGGAUGGCUUGAAUUCGGGAGAGGGAUGCAGAAUUCCAGGUGUAGCGGUGAAAUGCGUAGAUAUCUGGAGGAAUACCGGUGGCGAAGGCGGCAUCCUGGACCGAGAUUGACACUGAUGAGCGAAAGCCAGGGGAGCAAACGGG
rnacentral:rRNA from 1 species